rnacentral:rRNA from 1 species
GACGAACCGUGCAAACGUUGUUCGGAAUCACUGGGCUUAAAGGGCGCGUAGGCGGCUUGGCAAGUCGGGGGUGAAAUCUUUCGGCUCAACCGGAAAAGUGCCUUCGAUACUGCCAGGCUCGAGGAAGGUAGGGGUCACGGGAACGACCAGUGGAGCGGUGAAAUGCGUUGAGAUUGGUAGGAACGCCUGUGGCGAAAGCGCGUGACUGGACCUUCCCUGACGCUGAGGCGCGAAAGCUAGGGGAGCAAACGGG